rnacentral:rRNA from 1 species
GAUGAACGCUCGCUACAGGCUUAACACAUGCAAGUCGAGGGGAAACGACAUCGAAAGCUUGCUUUUGAUGGGCGUCGACCGGCGCACGGGUGAGUAACGCGUAUCCAACCUGCCCAUCACUUGGGAAUAACCUUGCGAAAGUAAGACUAAUACCCAAUGACAUCCCACGAAGACAUCUGAAUGGGAUUAAAGAUUUAUCGGUGAUGGAUGGGGAUGCGUCUGAUUAGCUUGUUGGCGGGGUAACGGCCCACCAAGGCAACGAUCAGUAGGGGUUCUGAGAGGAAGGUCCCCCACAUUGGAACUGAGACACGGUCCAAACUCCUACGGGGGGCAGCAGUGAGGAAUAUUGGUCAAUGGGCGAGAGCCUGAACCAGCCAAGUAGCGUGCAGGAUGACGGCCCUAUGGGUUGUAAACUGCUUUUAUAAGGGAAUAAAGUGGGUCUCGGGAGACUUUUUGCAUGUACCUUAUGAAUAAGGACCGGCUAAUUCCGUG